CACAGGGCUUGUCUACAGUGCCCAGCCCAGCCCAGCACCCCUCACCCUCCCCGGGGGAGCCAGCAGGAGCUGGUGGUGGUGGCAAACCCAGGGCUCACACCCUGGCACGCUCAUCUCCUCUGCUCUUCAUGCCUUGAGCACAGCCAUGGGGAAAUGGGACUACAGGAGGCAGCAUCAUUCACCUGACCAAUCAACCCUGUUUAGGAAGAUCCAAAGUGCAGAAACUGGAGAAUGUUCCAGAGAACACCUGCUGCAAUGGCUGAGGUCACGAUUUCCAGCCCAGCAAGAAGAUAAAACUGCUGCCAGAGCCCAUGGCCAGACCUGCUUUGUGCAGAACCACACCACCUCAGCCUCUCUGCCAAGAAACUGGGGAAUUUUCCAGUUGCCAUUCUCCUCCUGGGAGGCAGAAAGUGGGGGAGUAAAGCUUACAUACCUUCAUGAAGAUCUGAGAGGCAUCAGGAGGGUUUUCAUGAGAAACUGGAUGGAAGCAAAUGCUAUCAGAGUCCAAAUGUCCCAUUAAUUAUACCAGAAUCUCAUUCUGGGGAGAAGGGAAGUCCCAGCAGUCCUGCAACAGCCUUCUCAGACAAUGACUGAAAAAAAUGUUGCAGUUACUCAUUUUGAAAUGAGUUUUUGUAAGGGUUAGAUUUUUCUUGCAUGACAACACAUUGUGGGUACACAAUUAAAAAAUGAAGCCAUGACCAGUCAGAAACAAUCAUUCCUCCCUUUUUCAGUUAGAGUAAACUCUGAAAUCUGCCUGUUUUUUUUUUUUUUUUUACAUAACUGUAAUUAUAGUGCAGAACUCCAGAAGCCUUUGCAACAUAAACAUCCACAGGUUCUUCCUGGGCAGCCCCCUGAUAUCAGUGAGUCACUGCAGCCCCCACAGCUCCAGGUGGAGGGCACACAUCCCUCCUCCAGCCUGUUUCCCAGCAUGGGAAACGCUGCUCACAGCUCCUGGAAACCAGGCAGCAAAUGCUUAAUGUAAGUUUUGAGAUUCAACCAAGCUGGGCUGUGCCUUUCCACAGCAAACUCAGAGCAUCACAAAGUGAGGUGCAGGGUAAAAUCCCAGAGAAAUUCUCCUGAGUCAUUUUUCUUCCUCUGUGGGUUUGGGACUUGUUUGGGUGGACCCUAUCAGGCUAGAGCCACGUGUACCCCUCCUCCU
rnacentral:lncRNA from 1 species